UACGUAAGUGGCGAGCGUUAUCCGGAAUUACUGGGCGUAAAGCGUGCGUAGGCGGUUUAGUGUGUGGGAAUUGAAAGCCCGGGGCUCAACUCCGGAUCCGGUUCCCAAACUGCUAGACUCGAGUGUAUCAGAGGACAGUGGAAUUCCCGGUGUAGCGGUAAUAUGCGUAGAUAUCGGGAGGAACACCAGUGGCGAAGGCGACUGUCUGGGGUAUUGCUGACGCUGAGGCACGAAAGCCAGGGGAGCGAACGGG
rnacentral:rRNA from 1 species